AGAGGGAACGCUGCUCACGCCAACCGUCGAAAGAAAUCGAGCUUCAUCGGCGCAAAAAUUGUGUGGAGCGGCUUCACGUGACAAUCAAAUAAUGCAGUAAUGUCUCCCCACUGCAACAUGUUCAGUUAAUUUGUGUGAAACCAGUACAAUAGUGGUAAAACUGGAAAUUAUAAAAGAGCACCGUUGGCGUCCCUGCCAUGGGUGCAGCGUGUGUGUGGCUGAAGGUUGACGGCGUCUGAGGAAUAACUUUCCUGCCAUCACUCACUACCAACAAUAAUUGACUCAUUUUCUCCGCAUCCAGAGGAAAGACUUUUUCAAGUCGGCCGUCUCCCACCGAGGCAAACAUCUGCCAAGUACACAACACCUGUACCUCUCCCUGAGAACACCUGUAGCAAACAUCUGCCAAGUAGACAACACCUUCACUUCUCCCAGAACACCUGGAGGUUAUUCCGGGGAUCAACGCCCCCGUGGCCCGGUCCAUGACCAGGUCUCCCGAUGGAUCAGGGCCUGAUCAACUAGACUGUUACUGCUGGCCGCACGCAGUCCAACGUACGAGCCACAGCCCGGCUGAUCCGGCACUGACUUUAGGUAUCUGUCCAGCUCUCUCUUGAAGGCAGCCAGGGGUUUAUUGGCAAUUCCCCUAAUGCUUGAUGGGAGGCUGUUGAACAGUUUUGGGCCCCGGACACUUAUAGUGUUUUCCCUUAGUGUACCAAUGGCGCCCCUACUUUUUAUUGGGGGCAUUUUGCAUCGCCUGCCCAGUCUUUUACUUUCGUAGGGAGUGAUUUCUGUGUGCAGAUUUGGGGCCAUUCCCUCCAAGAUUUUCCAGGUGUAGAUUAUGAUAUAUCUCUCCCUCCUGCGUUCCAACGAGUACAAGUCAAGUGCAAAUAUCUGCCAAGUACACAACACCUGUACUUCUCCCUGAGAACACCUCUAGCAAACAUCUGCCAAGUACACAACACCUGUACCUCUCCCUGAGAACACCUGUAGCAAAUAUCUGCCAAGUACACAACACGUGUACUUCUCCCUGAGAACACUUGCGCAAAACAUCUGCCAAUGACACGACACCUGUACCUCUCCCUGAGAGCACUUGUGGCAAACAUCUGCUAAGUACAAAACACCUGUACCUCUCUCAGAACACUUGUGGCAAACCUGCUAAGUACACAACACCUGUACCUCCCAGAGAACACCUGUGGCAAACAUCUGCCAAGUACACAAUACCUGUACCUCUCCCAGAGAACACCUCUAGCAAACAUCUGCCAAGUACACAACACCUGUACCUCUCCCAGAGAACACCUCUAGCAAACAUCUACCAAGUACA